AAAAAAGGUAAGCUACUAAGAGCGAAUGGUGGAUGCCUUGACUGGUAAAGGCGAUGAAGGACGUACUAGACUGCGAUAAGCUACGGGGAGCUGUCAAGAAGCUUUGAUCCGUAGAUUUCCGAAUGGGGCAACCCAAUGUAUAGAGAUAUACAUUACCUAUAUAGGAGCGAACGAGGGGAAUUGAAACAUCUUAGUACCCUCAGGAAAAGAAAUCAAUAGAGAUUGUGUCAGUAGCGGCGAGCGAAAGCGCAAGAGGGCAAACCCAGUGCUUGCACUGGGGGUUGUAGGACUGCAAUGUGCAAGAGCUGAGUUUAGCAGAACAUUCUGGAAAGUAUAGCCAUAGAGGGUGAUAGUCCCGUAUGCGAAAAACAAAGCUUAGCUAGCAGUAUCCUGAGUAGGGCGGGACACGAGGAAUCCUGUCUGAAUCCGGGUCGACCACGAUCCAACCCUAAAUACUAAUACCAGAUCGAUAGUGCACAAGUACCGUGAGGGAAAGGUGAAAAGAACUGAGGUGAUCAGAGUGAAAUAGAACCUGAAACCAUUUGCUUACAAUCAUUCAGAGCACUAUGUAGCAAUACAGUGUGAUGGACUGCCUUUUGCAUAAUGAGCCUGCGAGUUGUGGUGUCUGGCAAGGUUAAGCAAACGCGAAGCCGUAGCGAAAGCGAGUCUGAAUAGGGCGCUUAGUCAGAUGCUGCAGACCCGAAACGAAGUGAUCUAUCCAUGAGCAAGUUGAAGCUAGUGUAAGAACUAGUGGAGGACUGAACCCAUAGGCGUUGAAAAGCCCCGGGAUGACUUGUGGAUAGGGGUGAAAGGCCAAUCAAACUUCGUGAUAGCUGGUUCUCUCCGAAAUAUAUUUAGGUAUAGCGUUGUGUCGUAAUAUAAGGGGGUAGAGCACUGAAUGGGCUAGGGCAUACACCAAUGUACCAAACCCUAUCAAACUCCGAAUACCUUAUAUGUAAUCACAGCAGUCAGGCGGCGAGUGAUAAAAUCCGUCGUCAAGAGGGAAACAACCCAGACUACCAGCUAAGGUCCCUAAGUCUUACUUAAGUGGAAAACGAUGUGAAGUUACUUAAACAACCAGGAGGUUGGCUUAGAAGCAGCCAUCCUUUAAAGAAAGCGUAAUAGCUCACUGGUCUAGUGAUUUUGCGCGGAAAAUAUAACGGGGCUAAAGU
rnacentral:rRNA from 1 species